CUACACACAUGGUAUCUGACCCAGCAGUCUUCUCCUGUUGGUGUGUUUAAAAGACAGUACAAAAGGAAAUCCACUCUCUGGGAUCAUUGCUUUCCUUGCCUUUGGUUCUUGCUAUGUUUAACCUGGUUCUUCUAAUGAUACAGUU